GAUGAACGCUGGCGGCAUGCCUAAUACAUGCAAGUCGAGCGAACGGACGAGAAGCUUGCUUCUCUGAUGUUAGCGGCGGACGGGUGAGUAACACGUGGAUAACCUACCUAUAAGACUGGGAUAACUUCGGGAAACCGGAGCUAAUACCGGAUGAUAUUUUGAACCGCAUGGUUCAAAAGUGAAAGACGGUCUUGCUGUCACUUAUAGAUGGAUCCGCGCUGCAUUAGCUAGUUGGUAAGGUAACGGCUUACCAAGGCAACGAUGCAUAGCCGACCUGAGAGGGUGAUCGGCCACACUGGAACUGAGACACGGUCCAGACUCCUACGGGAGGCAGCAGUAGGGAAUCUUCCGCAAUGGGCGAAAGCCUGACGGAGCAACGCCGCGUGAGUGAUGAAGGUCUUCGGAUCGUAAAACUCUGUUAUUAGGGAAGAACAUAUGUGUAAGUAACUGUGCACAUCUUGACGGUACCUAAUCAGAAAGCCACGGCUAACUACGUGCCAGCAGCCGCGGUAAUACGUAGGUGGCAAGCGUUAUCCGGAAUUAUUGGGCGUAAAGCGCGCGUAGGCGGUUUUUUAAGUCUGAUGUGAAAGCCCACGGCUCAACCGUGGAGGGUCAUUGGAAACUGGAAAACUUGAGUGCAGAAGAGGAAAGUGGAAUUCCAUGUGUAGCGGUGAAAUGCGCAGAGAUAUGGAGGAACACCAGUGGCGAAGGCGACUUUCUGGUCUGUAACUGACGCUGAUGUGCGAAAGCGUGGGGAUCAAACAGGAUUAGAUACCCUGGUAGUCCACGCCGUAAACGAUGAGUGCUAAGUGUUAGGGGGUUUCCGCCCCUUAGUGCUGCAGCUAACGCAUUAAGCACUCCGCCUGGGGAGUACGACCGCAAGGUUGAAACUCAAAGGAAUUGACGGGGACCCGCACAAGCGGUGGAGCAUGUGGUUUAAUUCGAAGCAACGCGAAGAACCUUACCAAAUCUUGACAUCCUUUGACAACUCUAGAGAUAGAGCCUUCCCCUUCGGGGGACAAAGUGACAGGUGGUGCAUGGUUGUCGUCAGCUCGUGUCGUGAGAUGUUGGGUUAAGUCCCGCAACGAGCGCAACCCUUAAGCUUAGUUGCCAUCAUUAAGUUGGGCACUCUAAGUUGACUGCCGGUGACAAACCGGAGGAAGGUGGGGAUGACGUCAAAUCAUCAUGCCCCUUAUGAUUUGGGCUACACACGUGCUACAAUGGACAAUACAAAGGGCAGCGAAACCGCGAGGUCAAGCAAAUCCCAUAAAGUUGUUCUCAGUUCGGAUUGUAGUCUGCAACUCGACUACAUGAAGCUGGAAUCGCUAGUAAUCGUAGAUCAGCAUGCUACGGUGAAUACGUUCCCGGGUCU
rnacentral:rRNA from 1 species